CAGGAGGAGGCUCAGGCCGUGGAUCAAGAGCUUUUUAACGAGUAUCAGUUCAUCGUGGAUCAACUCAUGGAGCUGGCCGGGUUGAGCUGUGCCACGGCCAUUGCCAAGGCUUAUCCCCCCACGUCUAUGUCCAAGAGUCCCCCGACUGUCUUGGUCAUCUGUGGCCCCGGAAAUAACGGAGGGGAUGGGCUGGUCUGUGCGCGACACCUUAAACUUUUCGGUUACCAGCCAACUAUCUAUUACCCCAAAAGACCUAACAAGCCCCUCUUCACUGGGCUAGUGACUCAGUGUCAGAAAAUGGACAUUCCUUUCCUUGGUGAAAUGCCCCCAGAGCCCAUGAUGGUGGACGAGCUGUAUGAGCUGGUGGUGGACGCCAUCUUCGGCUUCAGUUUCAAGGGUGACGUUCGGGAGCCAUUCCACAGCAUCCUGAGUGUCUUGAGUUGACUCACGGUGCCCAUUGCUAGCAUCGACAUUCCCUCAGGAUGGGAUGUAGAGAAGGGAAACCCUAGCGGAAUCCAACCAGACUUACUCAUCUCACUGACGGCACCCAAGAAGUCUGCAACUCACUUUACUGGCCGAUAUCAUUACCUUGGGGGUCGCUUUGUACCACCUGCCCUAGAGAAGAAGUACCAGCUGAACCUGCCAUCUUACCCUGACACAGAGUGUGUCUACCGCCUACAGUAAGGGAGGUGGAUAGGCAGGUUUCUCAAUAAAGACUUGGUACUUUCUGUCUUGAAAAAAAAAAAAA